GAUGAAGAACGCAGCGAAAUGCGAUAAGUAGUGUGAAUUGCAGAAUUCAGUGAAUCAUCGAAUCUUUGAACGCACAUUGCACCCCAUGGUAUUCCGUGGGGCAUGCCUGUUCGAGCGUCAUUUACCCCCUCAAGCUCCGCUUGGUGUUGGGCGUCUGUCCCGCUUCGCGCGCGGACUCGCCCCAAAGGUAUUGGCAGCGGUCGUGCCAGCUUCUCGCGCAGCACAUUGCGCUUCUCGAGGCACCGGUGGGCCCGCGUCCAUCAAGCUCACCCCCCCAGUUUGACCUCGGAUCAGGUAGGGAUACCCGCUGAACUUAAGCAUAUCAAUAAGCGGAGGA
rnacentral:misc_RNA from 1 species